CCUACGGGUGGCAGCAGUGGGGAAUAUUGCACAAUGGGGGAAACCCUGAUGCAGCGACGCCGCGUGAAGGAUGAAGUAUUUCGGUAUGUAAACCUCUAUCUGCAGGGACGAUAAUGACGGUACCUGACUAAGAAGCCCCGGCUAACUACGUGCCAGCAGCCGCGGUAAUACGUAGGUGGCAAGCGUUAUCCGGAUUUACUGGGCGUAAAGGGAGCGUAGGCGGUUUAGUAAGUGAGAAGUGAAAGCCCGGGGCUCAACUCCGGGACUGCAUUUGAAACUGUUGAACUAGAGUGCAGGAGAGGUGAGUGGAAUUCCUAGUGUAGCGGUGAAAUGCGUAGAGAUUAGGAGGAACACCAGUGGCGAAGGCGACUUACUGGACUGUAAAUGACGCUGAGGCUCGAAAGCGUGGGGAGCAAACAGGAUUAGAUACCCUAGUAGUC
rnacentral:rRNA from 1 species